rnacentral:piRNA from 1 species
UAAGUCUGUUUGUGGUGCUGUAACAAAAUA